UAACACAUGCAAGUCGAGCGGAAACGAGUUAUCUGAACUUUCGGGGAACGAUAACGGCGUCGAGCGGCGGACGGGUGAGUAAUGCCUAGGAAAUUGCCUUGAUGUGGGGGAUAACCAUUGGAAACGAUGGCUAAUACCGCAUAACGCCUACGGGCCAAAGAGGGGGACCUUCGGGCCUCUCGCGUCAAGAUAUGCCUAGGUGGGAUUAGCUAGUUGGUGAGGUAAUGGCUCACCAAGGCGACGAUCCCUAGCUGGUCUGAGAGGAUGAUCAGCCACACUGGAACUGAGACACGGUCCAGACUCCUACGGGAGGCAGCAGUGGGGAAUAUUGCACAAUGGGCGCAAGCCUGAUGCAGCCAUGCCGCGCGUAUGAAGAAGGCCUUCGGGUUGUAAAGUACUUUCAGUUGUGAGGAAGGGGGUGUCGUUAAUAGCGGCAUCUCUUGACGUUAGCAACAGAAGAAGCACCGGCUAACUCCGUGCCAGCAGCCGCGGUAAUACGGAGGGUGUGAGCGUUAAUCGGGAUUACUGGGCGUAAAGCGCAUG
rnacentral:rRNA from 1 species